rnacentral:rRNA from 1 species
UACGGAGGGUGCGAGCGUUAAUCGGAAUUACUGGGCGUAAAGCGCGCGUAGGCGGUCAGGCAAGUCGGGUGUGAGAGCCCUGGGCUCAACCUGGGAAUUGCAUUCGAAACUAUCUGACUCGAGUAUGGGAGAGGGAAGCGGAAUUUCCGGUGUAGCGGUGAAAUGCGUAGAUAUCGGAAGGAACACCAGUGGCGAAGGCGGCUUCCUGGACUAACACUGACGCUGAGGUGCGAAAGCGUGGGGAGCAAACAGG